rnacentral:rRNA from 1 species
GGUUGAAGUUCAGGUAACACUGAAUGGAGGACCGAACCGACUUACGUUGAAAAGUGAGCGGAUGAACUGAGGGUAGCGGAGAAAUUCCAAUCGAACCUGGAGAUAGCUGGUUCUCUCCGAAAUAGCUUUAGGGCUAGCCUCAAGUGAUGAUUAUUGGAGGUAGAGCACUGUUUGGACGAGGGGCCCCUCUCGGGUUACCGAAUUCAGACAAACUCCGAAUGCCAAUUAAUUUAACUUGGGAGUCAGAACAUGGGUGAUAAGGUCCGUGUUCGAAAGGGAAACAGCCCAGACCACCAGCUAAGGUCCCAAAAUAUAUGUUAAGUGGAAAAGGAUGUGGCGUUGCCCAGACAACUAGGAUGUUGGCUUAGAAGCAGCCAUCAUUUAAAGAGUGCGUAAUAGCUCACUAGUCGAGUGACACUGCGCCGAAAAUGUACCGGGGCUAAACAUAUUACCGAAGCUGUGGAUUGUCCUUUGGACAAUGGUAGGAGAGCGUUCUAAGGGCGUUGAAGCAUGAUCGUAAGGACAUGUGGAGCGCUUAGAAGUGAGAAUGCCGGUGUGAGUAGCGAAAGACGGGUGAGAAUCCCGUCCACCGAUUGACUAAGGUUUCCAGAGGAAGGCUCGUCCGCUCUGGGUUAGUCGGGUCCUAAGCUGAGGCCGACAGGCGUAGGCGAUGGAUAACAGGUUGAUAUUCCUGUACCACCUAUAAUCGUUUUAAUCGAUGGGGGGACGCAGUAGGAUAGGCGAAGCGUGCGAUUGGAUUGCACGUCUAAGCAGUAAGGCUGAGUAUUAGGCAAAUCCGGUACUCGUUAAGGCUGAGCUGUGAUGGGGAGAAGACAUUGUGUCU